rnacentral:lncRNA from 1 species
CGUACUUGGAGCUUCAACCGGCGCCGGAUUUACGGUCAGCGGCGGUGUUUCAACCGGGGCAGGAGUUCGAGUUAGAGCCUUGUGGGAAUCAGUAACAGUUAGAGAAGCAGCGGAUGAUGACGGUGAGGAAAAGGAAGAGGACUGAAUCGGUGCACGUCUGAACCGAGCGUGACCGGUUCUGUUAAUUAGUGAGAUGACCUUUUUGAACUUAGAGACGGUGAGAUCGGCAACCUCAGCGCAGUCGAGUCGGUUAGACUGGUGAGAAAGGAGGCUAAUCAGGUGCUCCAUGCUCUUCAUACCUUGCGUUGCAGCCUCCUGAAUGGCCAUCUGAUCAUCCAUCUUAGGAAAACUCAUCAGAUCCACCGCCAUUUUCACGAAAAACAACGACGACAACCAAAGGAAACUAAGCAAGUUGAGAGGUCAACAAAAC